rnacentral:rRNA from 1 species
AGCGAACGCUGGCGGCAGGCUUAACACAUGCAAGUCGAGCGGGCGUAGCAAUACGUCAGCGGCAGACGGGUGAGUAACGCGUGGGAACAUACCUUUUGGUUCGGAACAACACAGGGAAAC